rnacentral:rRNA from 1 species
AACGAACGCUGGCGGCAGGCCUAAUACAUGCAAGUCGAGCGCUCUAGCAAUAGAGAGCGGCGCACGGGUGCGUAACGCGUGGGAAUGUACCUCUAGGUGCGGAACAACGUCGGGAAACUGACGCUAAUACCGCAUAAUAUCUCCGGAUCAAAGAUUUAUCGCCUAGGGAUCAGCCCGCGUUGGAUUAGCUAGUUGGUGAGGUAAUGGCUCACCAAGGCGACGAUCCAUAGCUGGUCUGAGAGGAUGAUCAGCCACACUGGGACUGAGACACGGCCCAGACUCCUACGGGAGGCAGCAGUAAGGAAUAUUGGACAAUGGAGGAAACUCUGAUCCAGCCAUGCCGCGUGAGUGAAGAAGGCCUCGGUUGUAAGACUCUUUAGUAUGUGUACGAUGAUGACGGUAGCGAUACAGAAAAAGACUACCGGCCUGACUUCGUGCCAGCAG